AUUCCAUGAUGGGGACAUUCUAGGAUGUAGUCUUGAAAGCGCUCCCAUACUUCUGGAACAGAUUCAUCAUUUUGUUGCUGAAAACUUGUAAUCUUCCCACGGAGAGC
rfam:Sorghum bicolor cultivar BTx623 chromosome 6, whole genome shotgun sequence.